ACAGCCCCGCGCCGCAGCCCCGGCACCUGCCGCCCUCCGCCGCAGCCCGGCUCCAGGGUCCCAAAGCCCACGGCUGCGCGGCGCCGGGCUGCGCCACGGGGUUGGUUUCAUUUUAAUAAUAUUUUUGUAAGGAAGGGAAGGAGGGAGGCAGAUGGGGCUGGGGAGGGCAGGGGGGACGGCUGGGGGCCCUCCUCUCUUCCUCUUUUCCCCUCGGCUGCCAAAGGAGGGAGAGCGGAGGCUGUGCAAACUCACCGCACCUCUGGGCAGGGCUCUGAGCAUCCCCAGCAGCGGGGUUGGAGCUCCGGGCAGGGCGGCACCGGCACGCCUCAGGGCUGGGGCAUGGAUGGAUGGCAGACAGCUGUGCUGGUGGAUCAAAGAUGUGCUGUGACACUGCCCAGCGCCCCAUCCCGGCUCUGGAGGUGCCUCCCCAGGAGCUGACAGGGCGCUCUGUGUGGGGACACCUGGCCAUGACAGGCACAGAACUACCCACUGCCCUCAGUAGAGGAUGCAGGAAAGGAUGAGGCAGCUGUUCUCACCCCGUUAACAUGCAGCUCCUGCUUCCUGACAGCCCUGGCAGAGCAAGGAGCAAUUCAUCUCCUCAUGGCUCCUGCUGCACUGGCAUCAAUAAAUGCAGUUCUGAAAAGCUGCCAUUACACGAGCACAUUAUUCCCGAUGAGAGAUAAAGAGCUGCCAAGGGCCAUGUAAGGACAGAGAUCAGGACCCCCUGAUGUGUGCCGACACCCAGCAGGGUGACAGCCCCACUCACCCGCCCGGGCUCCGAUGCUGGUUCCACGUCUGCCUGGGUGUCGCAGCAUCUCCUGAUCUGCAAAGUGUGCCUGGUCACCUGCCGAGGUGUCAGGGCAAGCCACCUGCCACUCCGGAGGCCUGUGUGCUGAGAGAAUGAGCCAGACCUGUUCUGCCAACCUCUGCAGCAAAGCAGGGAUUGUUACCCUCACCACAUGGCCUCAAAGCACUCCCACCCUUCUGCAAACCCCAGAUCCCACACAGGAAUGUGUGACGUGUCCAGGGGAAGGCUGACAGGAGGGAGCUGCCACAGGUUCCCGACCUGACCUCGAUGCCAUGCUGCACCCUCCUCACACUAAGCACCAUUCUCUGUGCCUUGGGAGGCCUGAGAGGAGCCACGGGCAGCUCCCAGACACAGAAAUUGGGGUCACCCACAUUACGGUACGUUCUGACAUUCCACAGCUUGACUUUGCAGUUUAAAUAUCUUAGUUUCAUUAAAUAUUUCAUCAUUUCACUGAAUGUUUUGCAUACAAUUCUCUAACAUCUGCUCCCCCUGAUCCCAGCUGGGGUACAGGGCGAGAACAGUCUGCCUGUGCAGGAGAUCCAGCAUGAAAAACAGGCCCAAAGAUGAGCCCCAGGCUGCCCACUGGGCCAGGCUGAGGUCCCAAAGAACCAGAGCAGCCCUCCUGGCUGCAGGGUGCCCCACACCAGGGGGAAGUGCGAUCCCUUGAGGGCUGCCCCACGCCAAGGCCGUGUGCCAGCAGAGCAGCACGCUGGCAGGGAGGUGACGCAGGGCAAAGCCGAGAGCCUCCACCACCAGGAGAGGCAGAGAUGAGGCCCACGGUCCCAAUUCCCGGCCGCGGGGAGCGCUGUGAUGGCGGGAGGGGAGCAACGGCGGCACGGCACCAAUGGCUGCGCUGGCACACCUCCAUACGGCGGCCCCGGCUCCGGAGCCGGGCACCAGGAAGGGCAGCGGUGCCGCUCGCCUCAGCCCCGCAGCAGCAGCUCCGGCUGCUCGGACAGCUCAGCCGCCUGCUGCCCCCCCCCGGCCCCGGAGCGCAGCGCAGCCUCACCCGCGCCCACACGGACCGAGGCGGUGCAGCACCGUGGCCUGAGGGGAGACCCCUCGCCCGCCACCGGGCUCAGCUUCGCCGCUGUGCCUUCAGAUGACGUUUCCAGCCUCCACCGAAGGGCCGGCCCAGGACCGAGCUGCCCCGGGAGCCCCGGGAGAAGCGGAGCCCGUCGAGAGCAAAGACGGAGGAAGGCGGCGUCGAGCGACGGAGCCUGGGACAAAAUGGCGGCGGGCGCUGACAGGGUCUGAGGGGGCGGGGCCUCGGGAGGAGCGGGCACUCAUUGGCGGCCCCGCAGCCAAUAAGGCCUCAGAGCCUCGGGGUCGGAUGGUGGCGGGAGGUGCGAGGUUCUUCAUUGGUUGGGUCAUUCCGGAGCUGGCCAAUCCCGUUGAGAGCGUGAGGCGGGGCCGAGGCCUUGUGUCACGUGAGAGCCGCCAUGUUGGAGCGGCCCUGCGGCGCCUGCUGCCAGGCGGGGACGGAGGUCGGUUUGCCUCGAGCUUCCCUUAAUGAAGUAUUGUGGUGAGAUAAUUUACUAACAGAUCGUCUAUUCAAGAAUGGAGCCAGCUGUAGUCGUAAAACACGGUGAGGCCCAUCUGGGCGUAGCUGAGAUGUGUGAUUCAGCUUGAAGGCAUUCUGCUUGGUUCCCGAGGGAUGUGUGUGAGUUUAGAUCAGCCAGAGUCUGCGUAAUGAAGAAAACAUGGAACAGAUGAUACUAAUGGGUGGAAAUUAGGAUAUGAUGUAUGCGAGCAUCAAGAAAAGCACUUGGAGGAGUAAUGGAGGAGAAUAGGGUUCUUCAGUGCCCCUGUUUCUCUGGGAAUGGAAGAUAAAUACCACAGACAGAAUAUAGAAUGAUUGUGUGUUUCUGGGAGCUUCUCCUCCAACUCAGAACCAGAAUCACUUGUGAAUUUGGCCAGAACCCAUUGUCAGGAAUGAAAAGUGUGUCUGUCACAGAUUCUUACCAGGUUCUCUAUAGCAGUGAGUUCACUUCUGCUGCUGAAAAUGUCUCUUAUGGAAAAAGACAGCAAGUAGAUGAACUCUAUCAGGAGUUGCCUGACACAGUCUUUGAAGAGUCAUAUUUGGAAUUCUUGCUGGGAAUGACCUACAGCAUACACAGCAGCAACAGUGGCAUCACGAAAAGAGGACUCGGGGGGAGGGGGUGCUCGCCAAAAAGUUUGCCCUGUGCACUGAGUGUAGGUCUGUGUGUGCACCAGCUCCCAAAUCCGUCUGGAUUCCCUUUCCUGCAAUGCAUCUAUUGUUUACAAGGGAAAGAGGGAGCCAAAUCCUGGGCAGAGCGUGCUUGAACCCUGCAAUACCACAGUAGUUGCUUUCUUGCUGGCUUCCCAUGGGGAAAUGUACGCAAAAGCAGCUGUCAGGAAUUGAUAUUAUUAACAGGAACAGGCUCUUGCCACAAAAAUAUGAGCUGGGCCUGUGUGC